CUCUACUCUACUCUACUCUACUCUACUCUACUCUACUCUACUCUACUCUACUCGGAGCCGCGUCCGGCCUGCCUCUCUGCCUCCCCGCCGGCCCCCGCAGGGAGGAUGCGCUUGCGGGUGGGAGGUUUGAAGGGUCCAUAUGCUCUGGUCUCGCUCCUGGCUCUGUCACAGUCUCCCUCUGUCGUUCAAGGGCACACUUCAGCAGCCUGAGAACUCAGUUUUUCAGCUUUCAAGAUGGAGCAAUACUUUAUUUAUGUACAUCUCACAGCAAUGACAGCGAGGUGUCCAGAUACGUGGCGCGAGUGUCCACAAGGGUGUGUGAAUAAAAGACAGGGACAGCACCUGCAUAUGUACAUCAAUGUGUGUUUGCAAACAUACACACUCAUGUAGCAACAGUGACAAUAAACUGUGCAUGUUAUGAAAAUUUCCUGGUUGCCAACUGUGACAUUAGAAGCCAUUUCUCCAAAGAGGGCCUGUGCUGUCUUGAUGUCUGUGAAUCACUUUAGGAGAGAGAUACACUUGCAAAGAGGCCUCCUGCCAAAUUCAGAACCCACUACCUUUCAACCAGUCUCAGUACAGAUUUAAUUCUCAAGAAUAAAAUUAGUCGAGAACUUGGGUUUAUUUUAGCCAUUGGUUUCAAAUUAAACUGUCUUCUCCUUAAUCAGCUGCAUUUCCAGGAGUAACUUACUCUUAGCAAAAUUUCCCUGGGAGAGAUUAGCCAUGUAAAACUGUUGAUUGCCACUUUUGGCCUUUUGUUGAUAUUUUCCUUCUUUUACACAUUUUCUACUCCUUUUGACUUUGCUGCUGUUGAUAUAUCACAGGGCAAUGAAUGGAAUACACCCUAUAUUGUCUGCUGUUGACAUAUCACAGUGCAAUGAAUGGAAUACACACUAUAUUGGUGCAUUUGCAAGUUCAGCCCCACAUUUACAUUUGGUUGAAUUACACAUUUCUUACACAUUGAGGCUUUUAGCUGGUAGAAAAUUGAUCUGGUACUGUCCUUUUGACUUCCCAGCAAUACUCAAAUUUCACUACAAAUGACAAGAGACGAAGUAACAGAAAACAUUUAAUUAGAAAAAUAAUGCAUCUGAUAUACACAUCCAACAUGUUUUUACAUAUUUUACGUUUAUGGAAUAGUGCAAGUCCUUCACAAAAAUCUGCAAGUCAGUGCUUGAAGAGAAUAUAGAAAUAUUACAGAGGCAUCUUACAGAGGCAUGUGUGGAGAACAGUUCUGGUACUGAAGGAUGUGCUAUGUGAUGGACUGAUCAGUUUCUGUUCAUGUUAUAGUGAAAUGAAACAGACAACAUCAUAUUUGGGUUACUAUGAGACCUUUUUGUCAUGAAAGGAUAGCUGAAAAUUGCUAUAACCACUGAAGUCCUCAGCAAGUUGAUUUGCGCAAUUGGUCUUUAAAAGAUUAAAUAAAUGAUGCUCUAAUUGCAUCACUGUGGUCACACCAUACCACUAGUACACCUAGUCUUCUCAUCUAUAUUGCACUAGGCUGUAAGACUGCGUUGGUCUUUGCACAAACCAGAAUGAAAGAAUGGAGAAGUAUAGGCAAGAUGAGUCUGGUGUCUCAAGGUGCUCCUAACCAAAGAGGAUUAUUGCAGUUACGAUGUUCUGCUAUUACUCCUGAGUUUUCAAAUCAUAAAAAGUACUUUAGUCAGGGUUAGCUUGUUGGAAAGCUAACUGUCUCACCCAUAUUUACAUAAUCCCAGAUUCGUAUUUAUAAAUGCCACACAUUUUAGGACUCAGAAGCAGAGAAAAAGAAGAUGUACUUAAAACACUUUUAGCAAACGAAGAACAAUUCAUGUCAAUGGCCAGUUGCCAGUGUGCAAUCAGGUAUGACUAAUGGUGAAAACACAGUAGUUAGUUUCAGUCUUGGUGAUCUCAUCAGAAUUACGAAUGCAAAAAAUAACAAGGCAAUUCUAAAUUAAUCCUUGAUUCAUGUACAAUCUGCAAAAGCAUGUAUUUUCUUAAGUCACACAGGCCUUCCAGUCAUGCUGCACAGAAGCUCUUACUGGUUUAACAAAAAUAAACAUGUGUACAGGGCUGCAGAGUGAACUCAUCAAUGCAAGAUGUAAAUAUGUCUAUCAUACAGGGUGUUUGCAGUAGUAGAGCAAUAAAGAAGUGAACAGCUAAACUUUGACUAUGGAUGCAAGACUGAGACACUAGCAUAGUACUGAUGUGAAGCAAAAACCAGGAGAAUUUGAAUGGUGAGGGGAAUUUCAGUCUAUGGAUAAUUAGUGUGCAAAAGGUUCUGAAAAGAAUCAAGUGACUUGUAUUUAGUGAAUAAUUCUCCUAAUAUAUUUUCCCUGUAUAUAACACAGGUACCUCUCUUUACAUUCAUUGACAUUCAAUCUAUUUGUGCAGAGAGGAGGCACUAAAGCAUUACAAGAUACUGAGACGUUAGCACCAGAAUCUGUAGUAAAGGAAAUCUAAUGGUAUGAGGGAAAGAGUGAGGGCAGGCAGAGAAUUAACUCUGCUCCUGGUGUGAUUUAACAAACCCUAGAAUAAUUUCUGGAAUAAACUGAAAAUUAAAAGCUUGAACUCAGCAUGCAAAAUCCUCAAGAAGGUAUUUUAUCCAUGAGGCUGUACUUGCAAAAGAAAGAGUUGUCUUGCAGAUGGUGAAGGUCAUGUAUAUAUGUGUAAGCAGCAAGCAUUCUGUUCACUAUCUGUUCACUAAGCUUUUUUGAAAACAGCAUUUCCAGGGAAAAUCUCUGUUGUAAUGAAAUAGCCUUCUCUAAACUUGCCUGCCAGCUUUUUACAAAUCCUUUCCAUGUGGAGUGUCUUAAGCCCUCUUCUUUUGAUGGUCUUUUCCCUGUUGUAUUCAUGCAUAUUCUUUGUGCUUUGGUUCAUACUGAUCUGUAGCAGAUGGAGAGGUGGAGAGCAGAAGGAGUUUUUUCCCACUUUAAGAGUCCCUGAAGGUCAAAAUAUCUGCCCUGAGUUUCAUUAUCGGAAAAGAAAAUGCAGGUUUAAUGUGGCUUCUGAUUACAUGGUACUUAAGAAGGUCGUGCUGGCCUGUGAGUCUAUUUCAUUACAAAACAGCAGGUAAUAAAAAAAAAAAAAAUUAGAUCUUGUGAAUAAACUGUCUUUGUCAUGUGACAGAAGAAGGCUGACUGGUCCUGACAAGAAAAGCUUAAAAGCAGCGCUUCAGCUGCUUUUACAAUCAGAUUACUGUUUCUCUUUAAUUGUCUUAUUAAAAUCCACAGACUUGGUGAAUUCCAGUAAUUCUUUACUGUCUCCUCACAAGAUCAUAUGGUCAUUUAACACCACUCUGAUUACUAAACAAAAGGGAAAUCUUUACCCCCAGUUAAAAACCCUUCUGCAAACAAACAGUCUGAGGAUUGCUGUCCUUUAGCCAAAUAGCUUUUUGCUUGAAUUACUCAAUGAAACAUGGCCAAGCAUCUUUCCAAAUAUGGAGAAGAAAAGCAUUGUGUUCCCCCCGCCCCCCCCCCUUCACGUUCCCCAAAUACAGCUGGACAGAGCACAUCCUUGCACUCAGUCCACACAGUAUUUGUGCCUGCAGAGACAGCACCACAAUAUCACAUACCCUACAAUUUUUGAAGGAAUGCAGGUCAGUUUUGUUUUUACAGUAAGGAUGUUCUGCUAGCAGCAUUGUGCCACAGUGGAAACCCAGCUGCAACUGAAAUGUUAGGUCUUCUGCAGGAAUUUUACAGAAUUCUAGAUUUUAGCUAAACUAGAGAUAAAAUGACAGCUCAACACAAAUCAGAACCUGAUGUUAGUUAAGCUUGUUUUAAGACUUUCUUUGUGCUCAAGCACACAGUGCCCAUCUGAGGAAACCUAACACAAUAUGUAGCUAGCAGAACUAGUCUUUUUUCUUCCUUUUAACCUUUGCCAGUGUACGGGAUUACUCUGCUUCCACUUCCUCUUGCAGGUGUCAGGCAGUAUUUCAGCAGGGGGUGUUUAAGGAACUGUAUGAGGAGGAAAGCUUUCAAGAAUAGCAUUUUCAGAGUAGGGGUAGAAAUACUUUCAAUCUCAGAAAAUGAUCUCUGAAAUCCACCACCAGGGAGACAUUAAUACAGUACCAGAGUAGUGCCAGGCCCUGGUAGGUUAUAUCCAGCUUUCAUAGUUUAAAUGAAAGCAGCAGAGCUGUUCUAGGGAAGGGGGAGAAAGAAAAGGCUUUGGGAAGUUACUUUAUCCUCUUUCUUCCUGUGCCCUUUAGGAGAAAGGACACGUCCAGCUCCUGAGUCCUGGGAUGUGUGUCUUCUCCUCUUGGCUGAGAAGCUUCACCUCCCAGUGCUGCAGUGCCUUACCUCCCUGUAGCUUCAUUCAUUGCCCCCAGACUAUAGCAAAGAUCAAGACUGCAGUCUUGCUGCAAAGCAGGACCUGCUCUUGGAAGCUCCCUAUGUUAGAAUGCAUUGGUGGAACACACUGUCUUAGCCCUUUCUGACAGUUAAAAUUUUAAUUUGUUUUUUUAGUGGUAAUAGUGGAAGGACAGUGGAGGAGAUGCAUUGUGCAUUCAGUACUGCGGGGCCAAAGCUAGGCUAUCAGGAUUUUAGUCAUAAAAUGUGAGUUGAUUUUUUGGCCACUUUAGGCCUCAGUCGUAAACAGAACAUAUGAAAGAAACAAAGAAUUUUCUAUAAAUAUAAGAGUAUUCUCAAGAAGGCAGAAUAAAAGGAGAUUAAGCUCUUAAAUUAUCACUUUUUAUCAUUAAAAGUUGGGAGAGAUACUUCACAAUCUUUUAAAAUACCAGUAAUUCACUGGCUGUAAUUAUUUUAAGAUAAAUUUUCCAGGGCUAGAAACUUGAAGUCCAGACUUCCCACAUAAAUACUGUUUAAACACACACAAAUUGAGGCCAGUAAUGUUUUAUUUACACACACAAAUCCCAUUGACACCUCUGGGAGUUCUGACACAGACUGAAGAGAAUACAUAGUACUUGAAUAAGAGCAAAAUAUCUGUCCACAUGACUUUGGAAAAAGAUUAUAAUGUAGGAGGAGAAGUGUCAGUCUGCCAAAAAUUGCUCCUUUCAGGCAGAGGUCUGUGCAGUUUAGUCUUCAGCAGAGCAAAUAAGCAUUUGUAUGAGCCAAAUAAUGGGUUAUUAGUUCAAGCUAUAACAAAAAGAAAAACAAGAUUCGUAUUGCUUCUCAGUAUUCAGACAAUGAUGAAGUUUAGUUAUAAAAAUUUUGUUUUCACUGGUGGACAAGCCCAAUGCACAAUAAGGAUAUCAUAUGGCUAGCUUCUAAGAUGAAAAAAAGGUAGGCAAAAUCAAAACAUCUGCUGGUCUCUGUUUGCACAGCAGAUGUUCACUACACUUCCAAGUUAAGAUCUUCAGAAUUCAUGAAGCAUACUUUAUCCAUAAGCACACAAUCAGUCUGUCUUUGGCCUAUAACAUUCAUAUGAAACUGAGUACAUUUUGCCAUAUUCUACACUCUGAAGUAUGUGCUGUGUGAUUUUUGAAAGAUCCAGGCAAACACUGAAUGUAAGAAAAUCAUGGAAGGCACCUUUGAUCAUAUUCUAGGUAACCUGAGAUUCUGAAAACACCAGUGGGGCAGGACAAAGAUAUAGAUAUAGUCUGUAGGGUGAAGCUUGUUUAUGGCAUUUUUUGCUCCUGAAUGGGUUGAUACAAAUGAAAAA